rnacentral:rRNA from 1 species
UACGAAGGGGGCUAGCGUUGCUCGGAAUCACUGGGCGUAAAGCGCACGUAGGCGGAUUGUUAAGUCAGGGGUGAAAUCCUGGAGCUCAACUCCAGAACUGCCUUUGAUACUGGCGAUCUUGAGUCCGGGAGAGGUGAGUGGAACUCCGAGUGUAGAGGUGAAAUUCGUAGAUAUUCGGAAGAACACCAGUGGCGAAGGCGGCUCACUGGCCCGGUACUGACGCUGAGGUGCGAAAGCGUGGGGAGCAAACAG